GACAGAGGUCCCGAGCGUUUAGGCGGAAUCACUGGGCUUAAAGCGUGUGUAGGCGGAUUUGUAAGUACCUUGUGAAAUCCCACAGCUUAACUGUGGAACUGCUUGGUAUACUGCUUAUCUUGGGCCACUUAGGGGUUACCGGAACAAACGGUGGAGCGGUGAAAUGCGUAGAUAUCGUUUGGAACGCCAAUGGUGAAAACAGGUAACUGGGAGUGUGCCGACGCUGAGACACGAAAGCCAGGGGAGCGAACGGG
rnacentral:rRNA from 1 species